CUCAGUCGGCGAGCAGCCUAUGCCAAAGUACAUCAAGUUUUUUCGAACAGUGAGUGUAUUGUUUCACCGUCGAUAAACUUUUUGCUUAGGUAAAUUGCAUACUCUUUUCGACAAGACUAGUCAUGCUGACUUAGUACGCACCUCAUAGACCUCUCGAGGGCUGCCGAGUACCAGAUUAACAGUCGUUUCUUCAGAGGUUCCUG
rnacentral:lncRNA from 1 species